UACGUAGGGUGCGAGCGUUGUCCGGAAUUAUUGGGCGUAAAGAGCUCGUAGGCGGCUUGUCGCGUCGACUGUGAAAGCCCGCGGCUCAACCGCGGGUCUGCAGUCGAUACGGGCAGGCUAGAGUUCGGUAGGGGAGACUGGAAUUCCUGGUGUAGCGGUGAAAUGCGCAGAUAUCAGGAGGAACACCGAUGGCGAAGGCAGGUCUCUGGGCCGAUACUGACGCUGAGGAGCGAAAGCGUGGGGAGCGAACAGG
rnacentral:rRNA from 1 species